ensembl:lncRNA
GUGAGUACAUUUUCAACAAAUUUUCAUUUUCAGAUGAACUAUUCCUUUAAGCUACAGGAACAUUUUUACUAAUCAGUACAUUAUUUGAAGCUUGACAGAGAAAACAAACACAUUUUGAGAGCGCAGGGUCCUUUCAGGUGCCGCACUCUCUCUCCGUCUGUGUAUGCAGCCUCCCAAGGACCGAUAUGAGAUUUUUAUCAGGUAACAGAACUCUUCAUGUUUGCACUCCACCUAUCAGAAACAUUUCCACCCUUUAAAUCUUAUCUGACCACUCAGACAUACCUCUGUGUUCCUGACUGACACCAAAUGCGUCUCUAAAAAACGACCCCACCAGACUCCUGCUCCAAGACCGAUCUAAUUGAGAAGCAGGGCGACUUGCCUAAAGACUUUACAAAUUGUGGGUGACAGAUGGAGGCCUUAAUUAGAGCUCACCCAACUGUGAAUUAAAGUGAUGUGAGAUCAUGUCAUGACACCAUAUCCUGUUUGGCUAGCUGUGCCAUGGCGGUAUCUCUCUCACUCAAGCUAAUGCUGCUCAGAGCACUUAGGCUGUCACUAUUUAUCAAAACGGCCACCAUGUCCUGUGACUCUGCUGCACUGGACUGCACUUUCUGUGGUUGGAAGUCAUGCGUCAUCAGUAUUCACUUUUCUUGUUUGCAUUGUAUGUGAAUAGAGAACGAUUAUUAUGGACACUCUCUUGGAGCGCUGACAUAAUGGAAGUGUGGGUGCUUCUUAAAAUACGAUGGAAAUCACAAGGUCUGGUGCUGUCUGCAGGGACAGUGUUGAUGUGGAGUGUGUGACGGGCUGUUUGACAUGUGGCAGGGUAAAAUAUCUGUGCAUGAAAGGAGCAGGGCCUGCCCUGGGAUAAGAGAGGUACGGGGACAAUGCCAUCAGCUGGAGUUAUGGGGAUGGGGAGCCACUCCUGCUCCUUUCCAUUGUGUUAACUUAUUAAGACAACGCGUGGAGGAGUGUGGCAAGACCUGAUGGAUUACUGUGAUUAAAACAGUGUAACAGGAGAGCGGCUCUCUCACAUCUGGAGUCAACACACACUCACUCACAAAGCACAAUGCUAACUCUGUUUGGCCUAGCGUUAUGUAAUUGCCUGCGCUUCAGUCACUGCAGUAUAAACUGUGUCUGGAUGCGGUGACAUGUUUCCCGGUGAACGUCAAGGAAGUUUUGUUCCAAAGCUGGUGGCAGAGAGGAAAGGAUUGUGGGAUAUAUUUAUUUUGAAACAGCAACAACAUCAUUGUUAUUUACACAGCAAAAUGAUCGUUUUAAAAAGCUUGACAGACUCAGUCCCCAUCCACUUUAACUUUAACUUUGUGAAAAAGAAGUGUGUUGAAUGUGCACUAAGUGUACUUCAAAUUUUAAUAGUAUACUUAAAAGCUGAACUUGUAGAUAUUAUAAUAACAAAUAUAAAAUUAAAUAUGAAUAUUAAAUAUGAAAUAAAUGCACUUAAAAAGGGAUAAACCUUUCAUGACUGUUUCUUAGCACUUUUAAAAAGUGAACUGUAAUAAUGUCAAACUGAAAGUUUUAUUUUAAAUAAAUCAUUAUGUUUUAAUAUUUUUUUAGUCAUGCUUUAAAGAAGUACAGUUAUUUUGAUGUGUUGACUAACAUAGACAAGCACAUAUAAAGCAUUUGAUAUAAAUGUUUUGAUAUUACAUUAAAAAGUUAAUUGAUUUUAAAUGCACUAAAUUGCAACUUCAUUAAAAAUGGGAUACUUACAAAUAUAUUUAACACAAUAUCAUUUCAAAGUAUAUUUUGGAAGUGAUUACUAAG